rnacentral:rRNA from 1 species
AUUGAACGCUGGCGGCAGGCCUAACACAUGCAAGUCGAACGGGUGGCGGACGGGCGGGUAAUGUAUGGGCAACUGCCUAAUGGAGGGGGAUAAGUACUGGAAACGGUGGCUACAAGCGCAUACCGUCGGAUGUGGCCAGGUGGGAGUAGCGAGUGGGUGGGGUAAAGGCUCACCUAGGCGACGCUGCCUAGCUGGUCUGAGAGGAUGACCAGCCACACUGGAACUGAGACACGGUCCAGACUCCUACGGGAGGCAGCAGUGGGGAAUAUUGAGCAAUGGGCGAAAGUCUGAUGCAGCCAGGCCGCGUGUAUGAAGAAGGCCUUCGGGUUGUAAAGCACUUUCGGCAGGGAGGCGGUAUCCGAAGAAGAAGCACCGGCUAACUCCGUGCCAGCAGCCGCGGUAAUUC